rnacentral:rRNA from 1 species
AUCGAACGCUGGCGGCAGGCCUAACACAUGCAAGUCGAGCGAGCAGCGGACGGGUGCGUACUGUAUGGGGACCCGCCCGAUAGCGGGCGAUAACUACUGGAAACGGUAGCUAAUACCGCAUACAAUCGGAUUAACGCAUUUGGGAUUAGCUAGUCGGGGGGGUAAUGGCUCACCUAGGCGACGAUCCCCAGCUGGUCGGAGAGGGUGAUCAGCCACACUGGGACUGAGACACGGCCCAGACUCCUACGGGAGGCAGCAGUGGGGAAUAUUGCACAAUGGGCGCAAGCCUGAUGGAGCAAUGCCGCGUGUGUGAAGAAGGCCCUAGGGUUGUAAAGUACUUUCGGUCGGGAGGCGUUACCGACAGAGAAAGCAACGGCUAACUCCGUGCCAGCAGCCGCGGUAAUUC